rnacentral:rRNA from 1 species
AUUGAACGCUGGCGGCAGGCCUAACACGUGCAAGUCGAGCGGAUGAUGGGAGCUUGCUCCUGGAUUCAGCGGCGGACGGGUGAGUAAUGCCUAGGAAUCUGCCUGGUAGUGGGGGACAACGUUUCGAAAGGAACGCUAAUACCGCAUACGUCCUACGGGAGAAAGCAGGGGACCUUCGGGCCUUGCGCUAUCAGAUGAGCCUAGGUCGGAUUAGCUAGUAGGUGAGGUAAAGGCUCACCUAGGCGACGAUCCGUAACUGGUCUGAGAGGAUGAUCAGUCACACUGGAACUGAGACACGGUCCAGACUCCUACGGGAGGCAGCAGUGGGGAAUACUGGACAAUGGGCGAAAGCCUGAUCCAGCCAUGCCACGUGUGUGAAGAAGGUCUUCGGAUUGUAAAGCACUUUAAGUUGGGAGGAAGGGCAGUAAGUUAAUACCUUGCUGUUUUGACGUUACCGACAGAAUAAGCACCGGCUAACUUCGUGCCAGCCGCCGCGGUAACAC